rnacentral:rRNA from 1 species
UACGGAGGGUGCAAGCGUUAAUCGGAAUUACUGGGCGUAAAGCGUGCGCAGGCGGUUGUGCAAGACAGAUGUGAAAUCCCCGGGCUUAACCUGGGAAUUGCAUUUGUGACUGCACGGCUAGAGUGUGUCAGAGGGGGGUGGAAUUCCACGUGUAGCAGUGAAAUGCGUAGAUAUGUGGAGGAAUACCGAUGGCGAAGGCAGCCCCCUGGGAUAACACUGACGCUCAUGCACGAAAGCGUGGGGAGCAAACAGG